UUUUCACCUCAUAAUUAUGGGGAGGCUGUGCCUCCGCUGCCUCCCCCGACGAGCCGCCACUGCAACUAUCAGACCAGCA